rnacentral:lncRNA from 1 species
UGCCCCGCAAUCCAUGGACUUCUAAUUUCCGUUCAUUGUUAGGUUCAGUACUCUGCAGUAACGUCUCAAAAAAAAUCCAAGAAGCAUGACCCCAUCCUUGCACAAGAUGACGCCGAAAUGGCAUGUGGUACCAGCCUUGGAGUGCAGGCCGAGGAACUUCACUGUGGACUGAGGGUUGUGUAAUAGUUUCAGGCACGAAAUCAUUUUAGAAGCGUGGGAUGAAUUCCUACAGAACCGUUCCCUCCUUCUGUAUUUUAUCGAAGAACUCGCAAGGCUUCUCAGGUUGCAGCUCGAUUCCUACGAAGCUAUUUUUGCUCUUUGCCCGAGCCCAUUGGUCUUGACACAGCAUCGCUAGAGUCACCCGCUCCGCUCCUGGACAAAAGACCUUUGAGAGCGAAUUCUGCAAGGAGAGUCUCUCUGAAAACACACCUCAGAAUUGUCCAGUUCUGUCCCAGACACACGACAACACUGGAACAGAGGUCAGGACGUCUCCAGGUGUUCCUGGGCUUUGGGUGAUCAUUUCAGGUAAUUCCAUUCAUUUUUGUGUUCCUAUGUGCCAUUAUUAUUAUUAUUGUUAAUGACCGUGUGCUUACCUUAGUGGGGGCAAAGGAAUCAAACUGGACUGUCUCAGUGACAGCUUUUUGGUUUUUCAUCCAUCGGCCAGACAUAAGAAAGCACUGGGUGUGAUACCCAUUAGGUACUUGGGCGCCAUGAAUGUGUACCACUAAAAAUAUAGAUGCUUGGUUAUUAUAUUAAAGAGGAAAUAGCAAAUGGUCUUGAAACACUGGAGAGAAGGGGCUCCCCCUGCUGUCAUCAUAGAAGCUGCAUCGUCUCUCUGGCUAGAGGAGCAAGGACAUCGCAGGGUAAAGCAUAGUAGCCGACCAUUCGUGAAGUUCUCAUCACGUUGGGGGACGUAUAGUUCUAUUGGAAAUAAAAAAAAAAAAAAAAACCACAGACCACGAAUGAAGGCAAUGAAUACUUUUCUUAAAAGUUUUCUAUGCUCACAUUCAUUUGCUGAAGGGCCAGCGUCCCUAUAAACCACUGAAAUGGCCGGGGCACCUGGGUGGCUCAGUCGGUUGAGCGUCUGACUUCAGCUCAGGGCACGAUCUCGCGGUCCGUGAGUUCGAGCUCCGCGUCAGGCUCUGGGCUGAUGGCUCAGAGCCUGGAGCCUGCUUUGGAUUCUGUGUCUCCCUCUCUCUCUGCCCCUCCCCUGUUCAUGCUCUGUCUCUCUCUGUCUCAAAAAUAAAUAAAUGUUAAAAAAAAAAAAAAAACAAAAAACACUGAAAUGGCCAACCCAAGUCCACGGAUGGCUUUAAAGGCAAGGGUGGCAUUUGCCACCUGGUGGCAGGUGGGGUUGGGGUGAGCCUGUGUUUGAGCAUACUGUGCCUUUUUAAAAAAAAAAAAUAAUCGAUAAAAGUGACCUAUGACGAAAAAUAAAAGAACACCACUAAGUUUUGACCUUGGUAAAAAUGUUGGAUUUGUAAAAAAACUCGUUUCCUUUUCCUGUAAAUCACACUCCUCUGCACAUGGGUCUUUACAUCUGUAAGUAAGCCUUCAGAGCUCAUGAACACCACGGAUUUGUAGCCCUGGGAAGAACUCGAUGGCAAACAUUCCCCGAGUGAAGUGUCAGCCGUGACCAGACCGAGCCGGAGGUCAUUCAUCUGUUUGCUGAGAGGUUGAGGACUUGGAUGGAAUUAGUCGGGUCGAAGGUCUUCACGGAUGAGGUCAAUCGCAAGCAGUUAGGAAGGAGAGGAGAGGGGCGCCUGGGUGGCUCAGUUGGUUAAGCCGUGGACUUCGGCUCAGGUCAUGAUCUCACGGUUUGUGAGUUCCAGCCCCGCCUCAGGCUCGCUGCUUUCAGCACAGAGCCUGCUUUGGAUCCUCUGUCCCCCUCUCUCUCUGUCCCUCGCCCACUCGUGUUCUCUCUCUCUCUCAAAAAUAAAUAAACAUUUAAAAAAAAAAAAAGAAGGAAAGGAGAUGGCCUGUGCAAGCUCUGAGGGAUUGGAGAGGAAAAAUCACGGGAGGAGAACCCACGUCUACGUGGGUGUGGUCAUGUAUUGAUUCAUUUAUUGGUUUGCUUAUCCCUUCCCUCCACUCAUGGUAAGGAAGGCAGGCUCUUGAGCUAUGGCCACAGCUCCACCUCUCUAACCAUAGCGUUUAACCCUCUGACCUCAGUGUAAUUAUCUGUGAAAUGGGUUAAGGCUAUACCUAUGUCGUGGCAUUGUUGUUGAGGGGAUUGGAUGACAGGGUUAUAGAACACGCAUAGUCAGCGCAUAUUAAGUCCUUGUUAAAUUUGGGUACAUCACCCUGCGGUGCUGGGCUCUGGGCCGGUGUUAGAUAGUUGUUAAAAAACAAAAAAAACACCAGUGUCUUCAGGGUCACCUGAGUGGCUCAGUCCGUUAAGCAUCCAACUUUGGUUCAGGUCAUGAUCUCACGGUUGGUGAGUUCGAGCCCCGCGUCGGGCUCUGUGCUGACCGCUCAGAGCCUGGAGCCUGUUUUAGAUUCUGUGUCUCCCUCUCUCUCUGCCCCUCCCCCAUUCAUGCUGUGUCUGCCUGUCUGUCUGUCUCUCUCUCUCUCUGUCAAAAAUAAACAUUAAAAAAAUGUGAUCAUGAAUCUGGUCACCUCUCUCCACCUGAUGGAAACCAUCAUCAUCUCUUGUCUGAAGCACUACAGAAGCUUCUUACCUGUUCUUCCAGCCCCCGCCCGUCUUCUCUGCAGUUUGUUCUCAGUUCAGCAGCCAGAAUAAACCUCAAAGAUACUGGCCUGAUCUUGUUUCUUCUUCAUUCAAAGCCCUACGAUAGUUUUCUAUCUCCUUUAGAGUCAGAUGUGAAGUCUUCCGCUGGCCUGCGAGGCCGUGCUACCUCUCAGACCUGGCUCGGACCCUUGCUGGCUCCAUUUUAGCCACACUGGCAUCUGCGCUCUUUCCUGACCUUGCCGAAGAGGCUCCUGCCUCAGGACCUUCGCAUUUGCUCUCCUCUGUUUGGAAUGGUCUUCUGAGAUGUACGCACAGCUCGCUCCUUCACUCCCUUCAGGUCUCAGCCCCAGUGUUCCUGUUGCUGUUGUAAACAUUCCCACAAAUUUCGUGCCUUAAAACAACACAAAAUAACUGUCUUAGGGUUCUGGAUGUCAGGAGGGUAAAUUUAAGAUGUUCACGGGGCUGGUUCCUUCUGGAGGCUUCUGGGCAGAACCCGUUUCCUUGGCCCUUUCAGCUCCUCGAGGCCACCCACAUUCCUCGGCUUGUGACCCCUUCCUGCCACCACUCUGAACCCUCGCUUCUGUCCUCACGUUGCCUCCUGCCUCCCUCUUCUAAAGACUCUUAUAAUUGGGGCCCCUGGGUGGCUCAGUCGGUUAAGCAGCCGGCUCUCGGUUUCAGCUCGGGUCAUGAUCUCAUGGUUGCUGGGUUUGAACCCCACGUUGGACUCUGCACUGACAGUGUGGAGCCUGCUUAGGAUUCUCUCUCUGCCGCUUCCCCACUUGCACGCACGUGUACUCUUUCUCUCUCUCCCUCAAAAUAAAUGAACUUUAAAAAAAAAAACCCGUAUAAUUACACUGGGCUCAGCUGAGUAGUUCAGGAUACUUGGCUUAUCUCAAAAUGCUUAACUUAAUCAAAUCUGCAAAGUCUCUUUACCAAGCAACAUCCCGUAUACACAGGCUCAGGGUGUUAGGACAUGGACAUCUUGGGGAGGGGUCAUUACUCAGCCUACUGCACACUCUCUAUAAAAUAACCGUCCCAACUUACCCCCCAUUCUAGAAUCCUGUCCCUGUUUCAUUCUUCCCCUUGGCACUGUUCCCCAUCAGACAUUGUUUGUGUCUGUUGGUUUAUAACUUUCUGUCUCCCCCGCGCCCCGACCCCUGCAUGCCUUAGAGUGUAAAGCGAACGAGACAGGGCAAAGCACCCCCCUGUGGCACAAUAGUGGGGGGCGUGGGCAUGUUCUCAGUAAAUAUUUGUUAAAGGGCUAAAUUUAGUCUCUGAUCUUAAUGAGGGGAGUGUGGUGCAAAAUAGUGAACGGUAAGAAAAGAGUCAUGGGGCACCUGAGGUGCAUGGGGCUCAGUUAAGCGUCUGACUUUUGCUCAGGUCAUGAUCUCGCAGUUCACAGGUUUGAGCCCCGCAUCAGGCUCUGUGCUGACAGCUCAGAGCCUGGAGUCUGCUUCGGAUUCUGUGUCUCCCUCUCUCUCUGCCCCUCGACAUCUUAUGCUCUCUCUCUCUCUCUCUCAAAAAUAAAUAAACACUAAAAAAAAUUUUUUUUUUAAAAGGAAAAAGUCAUAAAAAUGUAUUUGGAAGAUUUCAUGGAAACACAAUCAUUGGACUGCAGAGAGAGAACAUCAGGAGGGCUGCACGGAGGAGGAAACUGAAGGGGGCCAGUGGCAGGGCAGGGCUUGGGAGAAGGAACAGAGCUCAGCCAGGUGGGAUGGAUCUGGGGAUCCUACAGGAACUGUUUAGCCAGGCAGGAGGAGGGUCCAUGCGGACAGAUGCGGGUUAGAAAAAGCAGGAAGAAAAGGUCAGGGGCAUAUGCUAAGGAACCACAUCAGAGUCCGAAGGGUGAUGUAACCUGAGAUGCUUUCUGCAGGGGUAGGAGGUAGGGGGCGGGGUUCAGGUAAAGCAGGAGGAAGCAGGCAGGAAGCGCAUUCUCCUUGGGGGUGGGCGGUAACAGCCUCUCCCAGGGGGCCCCCCAGAAUGGUGAGAAUGUGUUCUGAUGGCUGACCCCAAAGAGUUCAGCCGGCUCUGAACUUCCACCUUCUCCUGGCACAGGAGGAGAGAGGAGGGCGGCAGGGGUGGGGUGGGGGAAUGUGCAGCAGCUUGGCUCACCUAACAGCUCCCGGGGGUGGGNNNNNNNNNNNNNNNNNNNNNNNNNNNNNNNNNNNNNNNNNNNNNNNNNNNNNNNNNNNNNNNNNNNNNNNNNNNNNNNNNNNNNNNNNNNNNNGGGGGGGGGGAGGGGGGCCCUUCCAGGCUGGUUGCAGCUGUUCUUUUAUCGAAAGAUUUGGCCAAGAACAGUGUGAAGUGGUCACAGUCACGACUGCCUUGACUCCACCAGCCUGGCUGUGCCCUUGGAUAAGUUCUUGGGGGUCUCUAAACCUCAGCCUCCUCAUCUGUAGAAUGGGGAUAAGAAUAGUGCCUACUUCUUAAGUUUAUUGUGAGGGCUAAGUGAAGUGAUACAUUAAGUCUCCUCGGGGCAGUUCUACCAUAAACCCAGAGUCUAGUUCUUUAUCCCCAAACAGGAAGCACCCGAGGCCCGGGUGGGGGGUGACCAACCAUCUUCUCUCCCCUCACCCAACCCCUAGAGAUCUCACCACUCAGGUCUGCCCCCCCACCCCCCGGGGCCCUCUGUGGACAGAUCUCUCUGAUAGGCCUUCUGGGAAUGCAUAUUUAAAUCGCAGCCCUCCACCUCCAGAGUCCUCUGAAAGGGAAUCUCCCCCACCACUUCCAGUGGGAAUGGAUUUCCAGCCCUCCGUCCCUUCUCUAGCCUGAAAACUCCCCCCUUCACACUUGGGUUGUGAGUGUGCAUGGCUCUCCCCUGCCCAGCCUCAUCUCGGGGAUCUCUGGCCCAUCCUUGGCCCUGGUGGAGAGGACAAAGGAAGGCCACCAGGUUCUGGGAGCCAGAGAGAGGCUGGGAUGGAGAAGCCUGAGGCUGCUUCAGUCCUGGUUCUGUCUCUCUCUAGCAGCAAGGGCCAAGGUCAGUUUUUUCAUUUUUUAUUUUAUUUUUUUAAGGUUUAUUUAUUUUUGAGAGAGAGAAAAGACAGAGUGCGAGUGGGGGAAGGCCAGAGAGAGAGAGAGAGAGGGAGACACAGAAUCCGAAGCAGGCUCCAGGCUCUGGGCUGUCAGCACAGAGCCCGAUGCGAAGUUCGAACUCACAAACCUCGAGAUCGUGACCUGAACCAAAGUCAGACGCUUAACCAACUGAGCCACCCAGGCACCUCGUGUUCUAGAUUAACCAAAUGUACAUAUCACUCACCCUACCACAGGUAAGGAGGGAAUGUUUAAUACCUAUAGUAUUAGGUGUAGAACCAAGAACUUGAAAAGGCGCUGUAAGCUCUAAGGUAAUGUAAAAAUACUGACUUUUACUACUUAACCUGGGAUUUCUCUACUGAUAGAAACUUUACCCUACCUGAAGUGAGGGACUUACUUCCCCUCACACAUCAUUUACAAAAAUAUCAAGACAACUUUGCUCUGAUCAUCUGUAAAGUAUUGAUCCAAUAGUGUUCCCCCAAAUCCCCAGCUCAUCCUAAGGACACAGCUCUUUCUGGGAGGCGGUUCUCAUGGUUAUGAUGCAGUUACAAACCACUGGGUCACAUUUCUACGUGGCCUUGCAGAAAUGUUAUGCUCAGGUUGGCCAUGGGCUCCACGGUGGGGGGCGGGGGGUCAAAGUCACCGGGAGAAACUGCAGACUUCGUCCCCACAAUGCUGGGAGAACUCGGGGUUAGGCUGCCCUGGGCACCAGUCCCCGUAGGAAGGCCACAAGAGACAAAGAAGUCUGAAAACAGAUAGCUAAAGAGGCUUAGUCUUUGGGCAGACCUGACAAGAGACUGGAGGUACCCUCGCUACCAAAAUACGUAAUGUGUGCUAAAGGGGGUGUGUAAAACUAAGUGUGUCUUAUUUCAGUGUGUGCGAAAGAUUUCAUGUGGGAUUGCUAAUGUGGGAGCUACUGCCUGUCUGUUUCGUUUUUGCUUAGUCACAAUAAAUGUGUUUCUAAGCGACCAUGGAGGCUUUGGGAAGACGUGGUCACUCUACGGGGCAGGAAGGGGCAAAGGGAGCUGCACAGAGGAGGAGACACUGAAACUCCUCGGCCCUGGGCUCCUUCGUCAUCCCACCAUGAAGGCACACGUCUACCCCAGUCCUCAGGCCAAUCCAGGCAUGACGAAGGACUUCUGAGUGCCUCUGGGUCCCAGGAUCACCUUGUACCACUCGCCGAGUUCCCAUGUGACUGCCUGAGUGUCCUUCCUCGCCCUAUCCUAGAACCACUGCCCCUGGGUGAAGGCUUCUAGAAGUUUCCGUGGCUCCUCAGCUACCCCCUCAAGCUCUAGUCUCGAACUAUAAAGGGAGCUCAUUGGCUCUUGGACCUGAAGAAUCCACAGGCAGGUCAGCUUCGAGUUGGACUCACUUCCGGUUUGAGCCCGUGUCUAAGGGCACGUGAAGUACUGCAGCCCAUGGGACUGGUGGCCCGUGGGGCUGAGCGGUCUCCACCUGCAGGGUCACGGGCAGCAGCCCUAAUCCCUGGAGAGGACAGCUGCCUGGAAGGAGGGGUGCUCCCGCCCUGAUGUCAGAGUUAGCCCCGCAUGGAGGGGCAGGGUGGUGGCUGGUAGGCAGGUAGAUGCGUGCACCUCAAGACUUCUUUGUUCCUGCUCGGUCUUCCUCUUUGCCACCGAGGGAGUGAUCCCCAGCACUGAACUCAUGGUGGCCAGCUCUACACCUGUUAGGACACGGGCCGAGCUUUGGGGUGCCACGGGGAGCCACUGGAAGCCGAGGAGAGUGACUCACCCUCUGUUGACAGAGAUGGCGUGGCCGGGACAGAGAAUGCAGGAGGAAGGUGACUGGAAGACAUGUUGGGACAGCCCAAGCGAGGGGGCUGUCUCUGAGAUUUUGAUCUGUAACUUGUUUUUAUAUGUUAAAAAAAAAAGAUACCUGAAGUGGCGGGACUCGUAUCUUCACAAGCUAAAAAAUGCCUCUCUCGUGCUCGCCCUGUCUGUCUGUGCCACUUCCCUCCCCACCAGGCUGCCAUUGUCAUCACCGGCAAGGGCGUGUCACCUAGCAUGCGAGGGGAGGCCACCGCUGCACCCUUGCUGAGAAGUACACGGAUCCUUCCCGCACCGUGCUGUCCUCGCACGGGUGCUCCAGGAGCGCGCCAGCUUGGCCGCGUGCACUUGGCACUCCCAUCCGUCACCGGGCGACGAGAAUCUUCCACGUGCCGAUGGCGGGCUGCAGGAACCAGCAGACCACUAGUCGGACCUGAGCCUUCAGGAGAAAAACUCAGCAGAGUUGUGCCUGGGGAUCCUUCUGAGGGAGAGACACGCUAGGGAGAGACACGCUAGGGGCAAAAUGUUGCUGGAAUUAUUGGCACAGAAUUCUAAGUUGUGCAGGAAAAAAAAAAAAAAUCCCCUGAACGCUAACCCAGUGCUGUGUGAUUUACAAAGCCUUUUGCUUCUGUCAGGCCUUUGAAACAAAAGCAUCAGAGAAAUCGCGCCUUGCUGAAAGUUAUUCGGUGAAGCCUCCAUUUAAAUCCAGACCUUCUAACCCUAAAUCCUAUCUUCUUUUUAUCACUGGUUUACAGCAUUUACGGGUAACGCUUUUGGGGACCCUGGCAGCAUGGGCAAUAUUAGUUAAGCUGUGCCACAGAAUGGAUUCUACAAAUCCCACCAAACCCUUUGCUUACCCACUGGUUUAUUCUCAUUCUUCAUGCUUAGUUUGCUAAUGUAGGAGUCACAUGUCCCUGUUGUCUUUAUUCUCCUGGUUUAAUCAGGAAAACCAGCCAGAGGAGCCGAAAUGAUUAGCUUGGAAUCAUUAGAAGAGGAAAGAAUUUAUAUUCACGGUGACUGUAUUUCUAGUCCAUUGAUUAGGCAAUUUUGCUUUUAUGAAUCAAUCGGGGUGAUUGCUAUGCUGAAUAAAAUACGGAAUUGCUAUCAGAAAGAAAACAUAAAUUAUUAGCUUUAAAAUGCAUACUGUCUACGCAGGGAGCUACACAGUGUAUGGAAUGUUUCUCAUUUCCUCUUCCAGAUUUCUACCUGGGUUUUCUCAAGGGGUACUCCUAUAGGCUCUUUGGCUCUGUUGUGGCACGUGACGGGAUGAUCCAACAAUGCAGUGUCCCGGCGUGUGACAUUACUAUUUAGCUUCCACUAACAGCCCCUUGUAGGUGCGGGGUGGCGUUCCAAGUCAACACAGAGCGCUUUAAUAUCAAUAUCAAUAACCACGCAUAUCUUGACUCUGCGGCUUACAAUCCAGAAGGCAAGGUGAUUUUUAGAAAUCCAUACAAUCACCUUUGGAGACUCUAAGAACUAAUGCCCGAACCAUCUCAUCUCCUAUUAACCGGUUAAUUUUUUUUUCCUAGGAUAUACCGAGGUCAUUUCCUAAAUUGCACAUUUCCCACUGAUUAAUCUCAGUGGAUUGCCUCUUACUAUAGCAAAUAUGAUAAUGUCCAACAAUUAUAAUUCAUAAUUAUGGAACUUUAUUUCAUAAGAGGGUGUUUUAAAAGCCAGAUAAUCACUUUUAAGAAGACACUAGAAAAUUGAAUAGGGCAGAAUAGAGGUGGAAGGAGGAGGAGAAAACAGAAUGAAAAUAGCGGUGGAUGAAACGCUUUAAGACUAAAACCUCGCAAGGCCGGUGUUCCAUGCGUUAAGAACAAAAAAGGAGGCAUUUGGCUUUAGUACCGUGGGAUUUUAUGGAUUCUGGACGCCAGAAGUUUCUUUCUUUGUUUUUUUUUUUUUUUUUAAGUUUAUUUUGAGAGAGAGAGAGAGAGGAAGAGAGAGUGUGUGUGAGCGAGCAGGGGGUGGGCAGAGAGAGGGAGAGAGAGAGAAUCCCGAACCCCAAGCAGGCUCUGUGCUGUCAAUGCAGAGCCCGAUUCAGCGCUUGAUCUCACAAACUGUGAGAUCGUGACCUGAGCUGAGAUGGAGAGUCGGAUGCUCAACCGACUGAGCCACCCAGGCGCCUCUAGAUACCAGAAGUUUCAUGAUUUAAUUCAUUUGACACACAUUUAUUGUAUGCAUCCUAUACAUUGAGGCACUAAGGAGUUUAGAUUGUUAUAAUUUUUUUAAGAUCUGGCCAUCUCGCAGCCUACAGAAAAUGGACUGGCCCACGAGAUAGACAGUUGAUGAGCAUGGAGGAAAAGGGAAAAGAGAAGGAGAAAGAAAAAGCAGAAAUGAAAGUUUAAGGAGCAGCAGCAGCAAGUGCAAACAAAAUCCCGCCGCAAGACCUUUUUCCCCCAAAUAAAACUGUCCAGGGGCGCCUGGGUGGCGCAGUCGGUUAAGCGUCCGACUUCAGCCAGGUCACGAUCUCGCGGUCCGUGAGUUCGAGCCCCGCGUCGGGCUCUGGGCUGACGGCUCAGAGCCUGGAGCCUGUUUCCGAUUCUGUGUCUCCCUCUUUCUCUGCCCCUCCCCCGUUCAUGCUCUGUCUCUCUCUGUCCCAAAAAUAAAUAAAAUUUGAAAAAAAAAAAUUAAAAAAAUAAAAAUAAAAAAAAUAAAAAAAAAAAACUGUCCACUGUUUCUUAAUGAACACUUUCCUAAUUUUUCUCAGCGAGCACUAGGUUCUGUAAGUUAUAAGUACCUCCCAAGGCACAGUGAGGAACACAAGAAAAAUAAGAUUCAGACCCUAUUCUCAAAGAACUUAGACUCUAUUUGGAAAUUUCAAGCAGUGCACAUUGAAUCAUGGAUCCGCUCUAAGACAGCAUUCAAGCAGGUACAGGAGACCUGAUCCACACUCUGGGGGUGACGUUCAAAGAAGGCGGUAGGCCCAGCAGGGGUGGAAGGGACAAGGAAGGGUUCCCACAGAAGAUGGACACCAGAGAGGCCUGAGAGGCGGCGCAACAGAGGGGAGGCAAGAAGACACAGGCAGAGCAGAAAUUAGCAUCGUGUGUCUUGGGAUCAAGAAGAAAAAUCUGUGCUUUCUGUAACCGCAGGAUAGUUACGAGGGGGUCACGGGGAAUGCUGUUUGAGUAAGUGGGGGAAGCUGGGACCUCCAGGCUUUCGGAAACUCAAGCACAGGGAGGUCGGGAGGCUGGCCGCGGGUGACGAAGCCGGCCACGGCCCAGAUACUGGUGGAGAAUGGAAAAACCACUUUGCUGACAGGCCUUUGCGCCACUCCCUUCCACGGAACUGGUCCAGGAUGGCCGCAGAGGAGCUCACGGAAGAGAAUUUCAAAGAGGUUGUUGAUAAGGCUUGGAGACGGAGCUGAUUUCGGGCAGGGGCAGAAGAGGGUGUGGAGGAUGACUCCAAACCUGCGAAUAUGCCUCAUUUCCGCCAACUGGAGCAGGACUCGGGCUUGGGAGAAGAUGACAAAUGCCUAGAUCGGAAGACGAAGAACACUCCAGACGCAGCUGGGGUAGCCUCAGGGCAAGGAUCAGAGCUGUCCGGUCCUCCCCAGCCCCCAGGGUUAGGCAAGGAUGGCAGGAGGUGUGCGAAAGCUGCGGGGGUGCCCCGUGGGGCUGAGCACGGGAGGGGGCGGGGGAGGGGGGAGAAGGGGGGCGGGGCACAGAGUUCUGGGCGCUGGGGAGACUCACUCCGUCACUCCCCCCCCCCCCCCCCCCAGAGAGCAGUGUAUGCAUCUGUGCUGCAGAGCACUGCUCCUUGGCUCUCGUGGCCUCUGUGGCCUCAUUCAGGGAGCACGACCCGCUCACACGCGCACGCCAGGCACCGUGCGGGGUCCAGGAGCUCAUGGGGGAUGGGGGGGGGGGCUCUCAGUCUCCCGGGGAAGGCAGAGAUAAGCAGAUGUGGGGAUCCGAAAAUACGAGCCGUCGCUCCGAGAAAAGCAUCCGAAGCAGCCUCCUCGGGUAUUUCCUGGGGGUGCUGUGUUGAAUUGGCAUUGAAGGGGGCAAAGACUUCAGAGCACUGACCGUCCUUCAGCAAUUCUUGGCAGGAGCAGAGGGUGGCAUGAUUUAGGGUGAGAAGUCUGUGUCUCAAAGUUCAGCAUAUAAGAGUCUAGGGCUGUCGUCACAGCAGCUUGAGGAAGUUAACCAGGGUAGCCCCUGGGAGGCUAAGACAGACGAGGGUAGUCCCCAGCUUAGGCGCCGGGAUGCGUUCCCACAUCCCCAGUGGAUGCCCCAACCCCACGGAUGGUACCCAGCCCCAUCUAUGCUAUGUUUUUUCCUACCCCAUACAUCCCUAUGAUAAACACAUACUUCCUUUAUAAAUUAGGCACAGUAAGAGCUGAACAGCGAUAACUAAUAAUAAAAUCGAAUAACUAUAAGCCUAUACUGUAAUAAAAGUUACGUGAAUGUGAUCUCAUUUUCAAAAUAUCUUAUUGUACUUCCUGCGAGGAUGUGAGAUGAUAGAAUGCCUAGGAGGUGAGAUGAAGUGAGGCGAGUGAGGUGGGCUUGUGACCUGGGAUGUGUCAGGGGGCUCAUUUUCUUCCCAACUGAUUGACGGCAGGUAAUGAGCCGGGAAAAGUGAAAACACAGGACUGUAUAGCACAUGCUCUUUGAGCCGGGAGCUGAGUCUUCAGGUUCCAUGGUGUAGCGGUUAGCACAUCUGCCUUACACGCAGAAGAUCCUGGGUUCGAUUCCCAGUGGAACCACAAGCUUGUCUUAGUUUCCAUUUAAAGCUGGAGGAUGAAAAUGGGCGCGUUUUCAUCUUUGGCAAUCAGGAUCUUUUUAAAUACGAUUUCAUGGGUAUGUGCAAAUGUCCCGAAGUGCAGAUUUUCUUUUCAUCAACUUACGGCACAGAGACCCAGCUGAAAUCUCAGCUCGAAGGUCCCCAGCUCCGGGCCCAGAUGUUCCUGAUCUCUGUCCAGCAAGGAUGACAGGCACUCACAGCACGGAGGGGAGCCAGGAGCCCCCUGUCCAGGGCCAGUCCUGGGGGCCGUAUGGCACUAUGACCUCUUCUCCCUGAGGUUCCUCUGACUUCACCCCUGAGAUAUCCUGAGUCCUAGAUGCACUGCUGUGCCUAGAAUGUGAGGUACGGAGAGAGGAAGACGUUCGGCCGAGUCAGGAAUAGCCUGGGUUUUGACAUCAGAGUCUGGAUUCCAAUUCUGCCUCCACAGUGCCAUUAGCCAUGUGGUCUUGGACACGCUCUUUGCCGUGGUUCUGUCCCCGUGUGUCGACUAGGCAUAAGCAAAGCACCGGCAUCACGAGGAGUUUGUGCACGCUGGACGAGAUGAUUAUGGAAAGCGCUUAGCACUGGCUCCUGCCUACUGCUAAGUAGGCGCUCAACGGGCAGCCCUCGGUCUCGGAGUGUGGCUCCCCUCCCCGUGUUCUGUGUGAGCUAGGACCCAACAGCUCUGCCUGUACCCUUCUUCCCUUCUCUCCGGCGACACAGCUCCAAUACCGGCUACCAGAAUACGAACCCUCGUUAACAGGUGGCAUCACCUCUGAGGUACCUCCGCAGUGCGGCCUGAACCCCACUCUGCCCCCCACCGUGUUGUUCUCCCGCUAAUGUUCUGGUUAAUCCAACCGCUUGAGCAGAAGUGUCACCUCCCACGCUGUCCCACAUACCACCCACCGGAAGAUGGGGAGGCGGGAUCACGGCAGCCCAGAGGUCUAUCUUGCCCGACAAGUCCUGUAGGAGAGCCCACAAAAGAAAGAGGCUCUUUGCCACAGGAGAUUUAUUAUUACUAUUAUUAUUAUUUUGCCGACAGGCUCAGAAUUUAAAUAUAGGACGCUGAAUGGCCAGAACCUCGGCCCAGCCCUGAGCGCCUCCGGGCAUGUUCCUGAACCAAGAAUUCGAGUUUCUGCCCAGUGGGCUCACCGUCUGAACUUUCUAUUUCUAAAAUCGCAGUUCUUGGUAGCCAGCACACAUUCUGAGCCACAAAAUUCUGAGAAUUGUUGCACUCGUCAGCUGCUAAGUCACGUGUCCCUCGGCCUGGUCCCUUCUCCUAUCAUAACAGGACUUGUGUUAGAGUCUAUGAAUUUCCCUGUCACAUGAAAAUUGGCAUCCCUUAUAAUACCAUAAUCGCCCAGAAAUCCACCGUCAGGCCUGUCAUAAUUAAUCCAUUUUCAGGAUCCCUCAGGGUCUCCAAAUACAAUGACUGGUGGCAAAUUAAUAGAUCCUUUGGAUCGUCUCCUUUCGCUUCAGCAAAGAACUGACCCCGUGAUGGAAAUUUAGUUUAAUUAGGACAAUCGCUCAUAUUUAAAGAGUGCCUCACAGCAAAGAAGCCCCCCAGAUUCCAUCUCUUAAGCUUCGAAGCCGCACCUCACGUGACUUCGAGCCAACUUUCAGGGAACAGGUACGUUCGUCCCCAUUUGCUGCCCGUUGACAAGCAAGAAGAUAUUCACAAAGCUUGGGAUUCCCGCUUCGGUGUUGACUUUUGUCGCUUCAGCUUAUGUGUAUGAACUAUCGGCGGCACAAAAAUAUAUAUGGAAUGGUUUUUUGUUUUUUUUUUUUUGAGUACCUACUUCAUGAAUAGGGUAUCCUGUGUACACGGUGAGGCUGUAAAUAGACUUCAGUAGUGGAGCGCUGGAGUGGACAAAUAUAGAAUGUAGCCUGUGGUCAGCAAUGCCACACACACUCCCUCAGAGAGCCCCAUGCUGGUAUGUUAGCUGGUCUGUCUGGAAGCUUUUUUUUUUUUUUUUGGUUUAGGUUCAGUGAUAGUACAAAGAGCCUUGUGUUAUGGUCUCAACACUACUAUUUAUACCCCAUGACCCAUUAAGCACUGAUUCCUUGGUUGGGGUUCUCCCAACAGCUCGAGAAAAGAAACAGGGAAAAAAAUAGCCUGACUGGAAAAAAAAAAAAAGGAGUUCUCAUUUACAGUCCUUGAGUCAAGAAUUUGGUAACAUGACCCCGGCCAAAGCCUUCGGAGGCCUCGUAUCAGAUGUUGUUAUUUUUGGGUGGCUUGAAAAUACGCCUGGUUGAGGCGUGGGCACCCGAGUGGCUGUCGCAGGAAGCAGGAGCCAGAGUGGGCCCGGGGCUCUGUCCCCGAGAAAGUCCCCGGGCGGGGCCCGGGGGGCAGCCAGCUGCCGGGCUGGCCCCGGGCCUCACAAGAGGAAUCGGCAGCUUGGCCAGAGGAGAACUUCACCUUCCCUCAGUCAGCCUCCCUCCCCUGCAGAGGGGUGUCAGACCUCAACAUUCCUCUCUUGGUCUCUCAAAGGCAACUGGACACUCUUUGCCUUGCCCCCCCCCCGCCCCAGCACCUUAGGACCUGAACCUCCGUGGAGUCCGACACACCCCUCCCCCGCCUUCCCCCAGGGGACUUCAUUUUCUUUCAACAGGGCAUUUCCCCUGAAAAGUGAAUUGCCUCCCCUGUUCGGGAAGAAUGCCCGCUGGAGAUAUUUUUACGCUCCGUCUGCAGCGGGUGAAAGGGAAGCCCGGCUGAAGUGAUUCCCCGGUAAUGCGCUCCCCGAGCCCCACCGUGCUGUGCCAGCGUCCGAACGGACACGCUGCCCACGUUCGGGAACGCGGCUCGCUUGGCCUGUCCCGCCGCACCUCCCUUCCAGCCUGUCGUGACCAGCACACACGCGUGCUUGCACACACCCGUGUGCACCCGUGCACGUGCACACACAUGCACGUGCACACGCGUGCGCGCACGCACACACACACGCGCGCGCACACACACACACACACACACACCUGGCUCAGAGGCCAGAUAGAUGGUUAGCUGCUGUGUUGUGGCCUUCUAGUACAUAUUUGGAAACUAUUCUAGGGGAGCAUGAAGGGGACGUGUGGCCCCCUCUUCCGUGAAAAUAACUAAGAAAGAUCUCAAAUAAACUGUCCCGAGCGCACUCUGGAGUGGAAGACAGGAAGCCGAAACUCUCUGCUUGCAUAAUUCACGUGCCCUCAGAGUUACCUUAGUUGAAAAGGUCUUUAAAAUAUUUAGACCCGAUUCCUCUUCCUAUGAAAAUCGAUGCUUGGCGGCCUAUGAAUCCUGUAAAGUAGGCGACUGUCCAUUCUUUUCUUUUAAUUUUUUUAAAUGUUUAUUUAUUUUUGAGAGACAGAGAGAGUGCAAGUGGGAGAGAGGCAGAGAGAGAGGGAGACACAGAAUCCGAAGCAGGUUCUAGGCUCUGAGCUGUCAGCACAGAGCCUGAUGAGGGGCCUGAACUCACGAACUGUGAGAUCACGACCUGAGCCGAAGUCGGAAGCUUAGCCGACUGAGCCACCCAGGCGCCCCAGGGUCCAUUCUUGGCACAAGUGUUAGUGCCUCCAAGAUGGCUUCUGACUGAUCUGGCCCCACAGGCCUGUGUGCACCCACCGGCCCUCCUUAUGGAAAUUCAACUUGUCCUUUCUUGUAGCUCAAAUCCCGCCUUCUCUGUACAACUUUCCACCGGGCCCCACGGUAAAGAUGGGUGUUGUCCCAUCUCUGAACGUUCCGUGUUUGAGCUGGGCCUGGCUGGUUGAGGAGGGGUUAGCGGGUCAACGAGAUGGCUAGAGGAUGCAAUCGUGACGAGCCAAGGGCGGUGUUGCACAAUCCAGAGAGGCGGAAAGAUGCGUUAGGUUGUGGGAAAGAAAACGUGGGGAGAGCUGGGUUGGAGAAAUAACAAACCCGAAUUUCAGGUGUUGUCAGCCACGUGAAGGGGGUUGGCUUUAAUUGAAAGACAACAGGAAGCCGUGGUUUUAAGUCGAAGCGUGAGUGGAUGUUGCUUGCGUCCAAGGGGUAUAACUAACGUGGCAGCCCAGAAGUGUUUGUGGGUGCAUAAAUGAAUACCGGAUAACUGUUGUGGAGGGCUCAGAGAACCUCUGUGACAGUGUUAGUUCAUGUUACAUCUUCCCAUUGGGAAGUUGUUGUGGUCUGAAUGUCUGUGUCCUCCCUACAUUCACAUGUUGAGGCCCUAAACCCUCAACGUGAUGGUAUUUGGAGGUGGGGCCCUUGGAAGGAAUUAGGUUCAGAUGAGGCCAUGAGGGUGAGGCCCCAAGGGUGGGAUUAGUGUCCUCAUAAGAAGAGCAAGUGAGUGAGACCAGAGCUCGCUCGAAUUCUCUCUCGCUCCCCAUGCCACAGGAAGACACACUGAGAAGGCGGCCAUCUGCAAGCCAGGAAUUGGGCCCCUCCCCAAAACCGAAUCUGCCGGCACCUUGACCUUUGACUCUUGGCCUCCAGAACUAUGCGAAAUAAGUGUCUGUUGUUUAGGCACACUGCAGUAUUUUGUUAUAGCAGCCUGAGACAACUAAUACAUAAGCCAUCCGAAAUGCAUUAAUAUAAAUAAAAGUUAUUUUGGGGGGGCACUUGGGUGACUUAGUUGGUUAAGUCUCCCAACUCUUGAUCUCAGCUCAGGUCUUGAUCUCCGUGUCCUAAGUUCGAGCCCCAAGUUGAGCUCUGCGCCGGGCUUGAAGCCUACUUAAAACAAAAAAAGUUACUUUUCUAUCAAGAACUCAGUUCCUCAUCAAAAUACGCAUAGUAUGCGUGGACGCAGACCUGAAGACCUGUGUGUUGCUUAUUCUCAAAAAGACCGAUCUCAUCUCAUCUCUCUAACAGAUAGAUUGGGCUCGUCAGCAGCCUCCCAAAACUCAGCAGAGGCAUGAAUCUACCGUCUCUGGUGCGGAACGGUCAAACAUUUUUCAGUCCGUCCCAGACAAGAUAUUAUGGGGCUUAAGAUGAAUUAAUGUGAAUUUAAUCCACGACAAUUUUCGGCCAGUAAUGUGCUUUUCAGCCUUCAUACUGCCAAGUGUAGGCUUUGUGGGGUUUUGGCUUAGCAUUGCUUGGGCUCACGAGUGUAGUGUGGGAUGACGAAUUGCCAUAUUCCUCUGGAGAACGGUGUAGUUUGUCUUUAUAGUGGUGCUAGGUGUAUGGCAAUGGUAUGUCAACACAAUUUUAUUUCUCAGCCCCAGAUAUUUUCUCUCCCCUACCAGGUUGUCCAGUUUUCUUAGGAACUUUUUCUUAGACUUGGCUCCUCCAGCGGAUUCUUGAUGGUCUGGUUAUAGUUUGGAGAGUACAGCUCUCAGAUCCAAGAGAUUGGUACCUUAUAAAUUGUUUCUUCAAAGACUUUAGGAAGAAGAAACUCACUGUUUUCAUUCCCUAGAACCAAUGUACUUGAAUUCUUUCUGCACCUGCCACAAAAAUAUGGAGUAUGUUGUAUGAAAUAUGUUGUCGGUAUAUGUAAUUUCCUAAGAAGGAAGACUUAUAAAUCUGUGCCUCUCUCGCCUAAUAACUUGCAGUGCCAAGAGAUGGUUUCCACCCAAUGCAAUCGAAAGUCAGAGCGCAGAAAGGAAGGAAAGAUCACAGGCAUUCAUUAUGAUGCCUGUCUGAUGAGGAAUGCCUAGGACGGUGUCUGGGGAUUCUGGAAACUCAGGUGAGACUACAUGCCUUAGCCUCUAACUCUGAAUUUGGAUACUUCUGCUGUGGCCAGUAAGGUCUGGAGCCACCCAAGGUGUGUGCGUAGCCUUGCACAAAACUCCAGAAGCUUUAUUAUUCCUGAAGCACCCUUUCUGAAACCUGUGUAUUGUUCCACGUUUCAUUUUUUUUAGGUAGAGAGAAGGUUGACCUGAGCAAAAAUAAAACUUCCCUCUUUAAAACCAAACAACCAAAAAAAAUACACGCAAACAAACAAACAAACAAGCAACCUAAAGGAAAAAUGCAAGUCUCUGCUAUCCCUAAGAACUCUUCUUUUCAGCAGCAUUAGAGAGGAGAGGUGGAGGUCACUGGAUUUCCUGCCCCUCAUGUCCCUGGCUUGGUCCAGUGCCGUUGAAGUCCUUUCUCUUCCGAGUGGUUGUCUGCAAGUUCGGGGGGCAAAGCACAGGAAGGGAUUCAGUUUUCUAAGCCUGAAAGAAAGGCACAUCUGGGUCAGAUGCAGCUAUGAGGAAGGCAUCCCUUUAAAUGUGUUUGCUCAGGCCCACCUUCCAGCUCUCUCGAUCCCCAACCCCUCCUCUACAGAGGCUCAUGUCCAUUUCCUCCCCUCCACUCCCUGUCUGCCUGUCCCCUCCGCAAAGCCUCCCAGAGUGCUCUCCACCCCCACAGGCAAUCACCAUCCUCAUGACUGAGCCCGUGCGUCCCGCGACAGUCACAUGUACUUCGGGGUGAUGUUUGUAAAAUCAGCUAAAAUGGUUCUUGAAAGCUAAAGACCACCAUCAACUCUUCACCUUAUUCAUAAAAUCCUGGGCUGGCCUUCAUAGAGCUCUGCUGGUUGGUGCUUCCCAACCCUCUGUGUGCCUGUCAGUCGCCCGGGGCACCUGUUAUAUUCCGGGUUCUGAGUCAGUAGGUCUGUGGCACUGGGUGAGAGUUCUUGAUGUUAAAACCCAAGUCAGGCACAGGUGGAGCAGAAGUGUAACGGAGGCUCGUGGUGGCUCCACUUAAAGAGAGUUUCGAGGCUCCUGGGUGGCUCAGUUGGUUAAGUGUCCGACUUCAGCUCAGGUCACAAUCCCAUGGCUCCUGAGUUCGAGCCCUGCGUCCGGCUCUGUGCUGACACUGCGCGUCCUUCUUCGGCUCCUCUGUCUCCCUCUCUCUCUGCCCGUCCCCUGCGUGCUCUCUCUCAAAGAUAAAUAAACGCGAAAGAAAGAAAUAGAGUUUCACCCCAGCUUCUUCUGAGGGCUUCUUCCCAGCUAUCCAUUGACGUUUUUAUGUCCCUCGAGGCUCGCUUCCAAUCUGGCACACCCCUACGAGAAUGCCAGAAUCCUCUCAAAGGCCGGAGAGCGAUGACGUACCCAGCGGCACUGGCCACUGCAGAGAGGAGGCGUUCUGAUCAUGAGCUGCUUUUAUCUGGAGCUCACUGACCAAGCGGUUCCACGUCCCCGGGGAGCAUUUGAUGGACAGCGCUGCCUUUAGAAAGUGAUAGAACUUUUCUGUUGGCAGAAUUUGUAUUAAAACCUCAAGACGCUCGGUUCUUUUCAUCUCCGCUCCUCCUAAUUUAUAAGACAAAGCCUAAAGUGCUUGAUCUGUAAAAUGCAUCUGGCCAACGGCAGGCAGACUUCAGGAGAGCCUCCUCGGCCAGGUAGCUUUCAUCUUAAGGGAUGUACAGAGCCAGGGAGCCAGGCCUGACAUGCAGAUGAUUAGGUAGUAGCAUAAAUCAUACGAAAUUGGGCCCCAAUCCAUCAUUCUUACUUUCAGAAAAAACAAAACAAAACAAAACAAAACAACUUUCUAAAUAAAUAACAUGUUUUCAGUCUGAAACUAACAUGAUCCCAAACCAUUUUAAAAAUAGAAUAAAAGAAAAGGAAAAAGAAAAAACUCGCUCCAGUACAUUAAUAACCACUGUUAAAUGCAACAAUUAUCAGCAUUUCGUUGUAAUAUUCUUUUUGCUUUUCCUGUGUGUCUGUUUUCAUGUGUAGACUAAUUUUUCCAUAAUUCUGACAUACGAUAUGUGUCAUUUUAUAUGCUUCUUUUUUUCACUCACUGUUUUAUCUGUCAUAAGUAUUCUCCAUGUGAUUAUAGCCUUUAUCGCCAUCAUUUCCAUGUGCUGCAAAUUACUCCAUUGAAUGGUUAUACCAACGUUUGUUAAUUCAGUUAUUAAUGCGGCUAAACGUAUUAGGCAUUUAAGCUGUUUCGAAAGCUUUACAAAUACAGUUGGGGCAAAAAUGUAAUUUAUCAAGUGUCUGCAUACAGAAUACAGUGUGUUUCAAUAUUUUAAUGAGCUUGAAGUCCAUAACAGAUGUAUUGAUCCAGAUUAUAUGUGUAUGUGUAUAUAUAUAUAAAUGCUUACUUGUAUGUGUGUGUAUAUAUAUAUAUAUAUAUAUAUAUAUAUAUAUAAAUGCUUACUUAUUUUUGAGAGAGACAGAGACAGAGUGUGAGCUGGGGAAGGGGCAGAGAGAGGGAGACACAGAAUCUGAAACAGGCUCCAGGCUCUGAGCUGUCAACACAGAGCCUGACACUGGGCUCGAAGUCACGAGCCCUGAGAUCAUGACCUGAGCCGAAGUUGGAUGCUUAACCAACUGAGCCACCCAGGUGCCCCGAUCCAGAUAAUGUUUUUAAAAAUGUAUUUAUGAGAGAGAGAGAGAGAGAGAGAGAGAGAGAGAGAGGAUCCCAAGCAAGCAGGCUGAGCACUGUCAUCACAGAGCCUGACUCGGGGCUUGAACUCACAAACCGGGGGAUUGUGCCCUGAGCAGAAAUCAGGAGUUGGACGCUUAACCAGCCGAACCACCCAGGUGCCCCAGAUACAGAUAACUUUAAAGAGGUAUAUAACAGGUGACACAAUUAAAGCAUUUAUCAAGGAUCUCGAGGAAGCCAACAGGGAACAGACAUGGCCUGUCAGCCUCUGCCACGGAGAGGGCGUGGGAAGGGGAGAAGAGGCAGGGAUGGUUGCAGAGAGAUUUGGAGUCCCAGGGGCCAGGGUGAGCGACCACCACUCACCUGGACGUCACCCCAUGCCCAUGGGUCAGUGACUUCCCUCCCUGCGUCCCAGCCUCCCCACCUUUUUUUUUUUUUUUUUGAGAGAGAGAGAGAGCAAGAGAGCGAGUGAGCAUGAGCAGAAGAGGAGCAGAGAGACAGGAAGACGCAGAAUCCGAAGAAGGCUCCAGGCUCUGAGCUGUUAGCACAGAGCCCGACGCUGGGCUCGAACUCAGGAACCGUGAGAUCAUGACCUGAGCCGAAGUCGGACGCUUAACUGACUAAGCCACCCAGGUGCCACCCCAGCACCCCCUUCAUGUAAAUCAGAUCGGUGCCUACCUCAAAUGACUGUGGCAAGGAUUAAGGGAAUCCACAAAGUUCUUAGUAGGAUACGUGUCCUGGUGCGCAUACUCAACACGGUCAGAAAACACCAUUGGGGCAGCGAUCACAGGCAUCGGGAGCUGCCUCCUCCUGCCGUUCACCAGGUCUGCUGCUCUGGUGCCACAUGUCUAGUUAUUUAAAAGCCGUAAAUGAGGCCAAUAAGCCAUUUAAAAAAUGUUUUAUCCUCCCACCUUGAUAUGCCUUCAUGACACAAAACAGAAGACUCUUUAUAGAGAGGCGCCUGGGUAUCUCAUUGGGUUCAGUGUCCGACUCUUGACUUCGACUCAGGUCAUGCAUGAUCUCACGGCUCGUGAGAUCGAGCCCUGCGCUCAGCUUUGUGCUGACAGCACGGAGCCUGCUUGGGAUUCUCUCUCUCCCUCUCUCUCUGCCCCUCUCCCGCUCUCUCGCUCUCUCUCUCUCUCACUCUCAAAAUAAAUAAAUAAACUCUCUCGCUCUCUCUCUCACUCUCAAAAUAAAUAAAUAAACUUUAAAAAAGGGAACAUAUUUAUAGAGCUGUGGUUUUUCUAUGACUAAAAAGUAGCAAAAUAUGGAAGGAGGAGGAAUAUGAUCCUUUGUAAGCCUGUCUGGGAUGUUGUUUGGCAAAGCGUUGGUUGGAUGACUAAAGAAUAAAGACAUAAAUUUAUAAUUUUUUAAAUGUUUAUUUAUUUUUGAGAGAGAGAGAGACAGAGUGUGAGCAGGGGAGGGGCAGAGAGAGAGGGAGACACAGAAUCCAAAGCAGGUUCCAGGCUCCGAGCUGUCAGCACAGAGCCUGACUCGGGGCUCGAACUCACAGACUGUGAGAUUAUGACCUAAGCCAAAGUUGGAUGUUUAACCGACUAAGCCACCCACAUGCCCCAAGACAUAAAUUUAUAAAUUAUUAUAUAUUUAUUUAAUAAAAUUCAUCUUCUUACCUUCAUUUCAGUAAAAUCGUUAAUUAUAUUCUUAUAAUCAAGAGUUUCACAAUCUGUGUUCCAGUGAUAGCAACAAUCUAACAGAUUAAAAAUAAAUGUAAUUAUAUUAAAAUAUACAAAAUUGUAAUAUAUUUUAAUCAACAUGUAGAUUAGCAUCAAUGUGAGAAGCUAAAAAUUUAAUUAUUUUAGAUAUGUUUUCACAAAACUAAUUUUUAUUCCAAAAUAUUCAAAAUUAUCCAUUGUAACUGAAAUGCAAAUACAAAUUACUUACUGAAUAUGAAAAGUUAAAAUAAAAUUAUUUAAGUAGAUCUGAAGAUUUUUAGAAGAUUUUUUUUAGUAUAUAAUUACAUCUCAGUGUGUAUUUUUAUAAAAAUAAAACUAUUUGCAAUUCUAGUAAAAUUUGUUUAGCUGCUAAUGUCGAGAACUGCUUUUACACAGGUGCACCCGGGUGGCUCAGUCGGUUAAGCGUCUGACUCUUGGUUUCGGCUCGGGCCAUGAUCUCAAGGUUCGCGAGUUCGAGCCCCACGUUGGGCUCUUUGCUGACAGGGGAGCCUGCUUGGGAUCCUCUCUCCCUCUGUCUCUACCCCUCCCCUGCUUGCACUCUUUCAUGCUCUCUCAAAAUAAAUAAAUAAACUUUAAAAAAAAAAAAAGAACUGCUUUUAUACAUCACAUAUAUCUAUCUAGGACUAUAUUUGUGUAUAUAAGUAAUGAAAUAUGAAUUAUGUGGUAUUGCAAAAUGUAUGCGCAAUUGUCGGGUAUCCUGUGUGUAAUUUUUUAGCACCCCAGGGACCCUGGGUUGGAAUGUGAAGAGAAGAAAAUGGACUUUCAGCUCUACUGGGAAAUAGUUAUUGAUCACGCAAGAAUUUAUUACAUCUUUGCUAGAGGAGGGGAGAAUUAACAAGGAAAAGAUUUUGUGUUUCCUCUUCUCCCGGCAUUUCUGCUGCUUGAAUUCUCUCUACGCCUCGGAGUCAUGAGUCAUGGUCAUUUCCAACGUCAGUAGUAGUGCGAACACACCUUCUUGGCACUCGGUACUCGGAUGCAGGGCCUUUUACUUCAAGGCCAGAGAUGCAGGAGGUGUCCCUGGGGCCUGAGCGGUAUUGGUCACAAGAGCGGAUCUUUAGGAUUAUCGGUUGUCAUGCCUGCAUUGAAGCAAAAAUGGGCCUCAAGUCAUGCUUGCACGCACGCGCGCGCGCGCGUGUGUGUGUGUGUGUGUGUGUGUCCAGGAUCAGAGACUCUCUUGCAAAGGCACCUCUCCAAUAAAGAAACACAGGACAUCGUGCACAGAUAUUUCUUGGGAUAGAUUUUCCACAGUGUGCAAAUCCUUCUUAUAAAUACCAUUAACCACAGUCGUUCCCUCACUGACUUUGAAUCUAUUCUAGAGUCCCGUGCCCACCCUGCAGGGCUUGACGUUUAAAACACUGUGUCCUGUGUCCGUUUUGACAAUUUAUUAGAAAAGGUAGAGGAGAGAAGCUCCCUCCUUUCUCACCACCAGGACCCAUUCCAGAAUUCGACAGCCCCCGGAAUCAGAGCAGCCCGUUGGCGGGAAGGCCCCAAGACCUAGAGCCCGGAGGAGGAAGGAUAGUCAGCAGGUCCAGAUGCGGCUCUGAGCCACCACUGUGUUCAUUAAGAAACUCUUCGAAACUUGCCCCUUUUUUUCGUUAUCUCUGAAGCUCUGAGGACUUUCCUUCCUCCCAGAAGCUUCCAGGCAUUUGUCAGGGGAACAAGACUCCUAGGAAUUUAGGGGAAGUGUGUUUGGAUGUGAGGCCACUGUUCUGACAGCCUGGGCUGGGAGAAACUGUUGGUGCCGUCUGCGGAGCUGGGGCUCGGAGCCCGGGAGAGCAUCGGACAUCAACCUGAACUGGCCCGCGGAGGGGAUCGGAGCCCACACAUCCAGGCCCCGAGUCCCACGCCACAAGCCAGGAGGAGCGGCCCGGUGUCCAGUCGUCUAGAAAAAGGCAAAAGGUAGUGCACGAGGCUUUGAAUUCAAUCAAUUCUUCCGUCAAAUAAGUCACAAUUCUCCUAAAAAUCGUUUAUACCUUUACCCCUGGCUUAUCUCAGAUCUCUAGCCUAUGCUGUUUGAAUACCAUCAUUUCAAAAUGGCAGGUUUUUCUUCUCAUUCGUUUAAAGCAGUGACCUCAUUUCCCUCCGCGCUACCUUAGCUUUCAAAUCACCCUUCUCCCGAGGUACGUUUAAGGGCAGCGUCUCAAUACACUGCGUGUUGCUUUAUGUGUGAUAUAACUAAAUAAUUAUAUCCUAUAACGUUGAUACAGAUGGCUUUCAGGAAUAUAAAGACUGACGGAAAGGCAGGGAGGAGGGGAAGAGAAUCAAUCUACGUUUCCCCUGGGAGAUGGUAAGUCAUUUCGGUGAAUCUCUCUUGAGAGCCCACUGUGUGUCUGCCACUGUCCUAACGCUCAGAUCGGUUGUAUAUCUUCUCCCGAGCUGCUCGUAAUCUUGGAGGGAAGAGAAACCACGUAUACCAACGACUGUGAAUGAAGGGAGACCGAGCUGAAGUUAUGAGAGAAAGAUAGUUCAAACCGUCGGCAGCUCUCUGUAUGGAUCAGGAAGUUUCGUGAUGGGUGUCUGAACAAAGGCGUAGGAGCGACGUCCCAGGGGCCAGGAAGUGUCGGCUGCCUCGGGAACUCAGCCGUGUCGGAUAGGGUUCGAGAUGCCAGGCUGACACGCGUGGCUUCCUUUGGUGGGCAGCGGGGAGCACAAAGGUGGUUAAGCAGGGAGGAGUCUGAUGAGAGCUUCCUUUAGGAAGAUAAAUCUGCCAGCAAAGUAGACAACAGAUUCAAGUAAGAAGAAGCAGGAGAUUGAGAGGCCUGUCGGAAUGUGUGAUGGGGGCUUGACAUGGAAGAAAUGAGGGUCUGAGCUAAGAGGGAAGACAGGACACUGGCCAAAGACUUCUGGAUCUACCGGUAGGGACACACUCCCAUCUUCAAGGCCGAAUGAUACUCCUACACCCGCCCACGUCUGUUUCUGUUAUGCUUUAUGCACAUCAGUUGCAGGUGUGGACUGUGUCGAGAACCUGACCAGUGUGACUUACGUCCCAGGUUGGGACACUCCAGGCAUUGUCAGGGUUAAAAGAAGUGUCGCAGGAAGAACACAGCUCUCUUGUUGGCUGUGGGUGUAGGUGAGUCCCACAAACACUGUAACCAACACCAGAAAAUUCUAGCGAGCCGAAAGGAAAAAUGAAAUGAGCCAAUAGGCACACAGCGGUGCCAAAGGCCAGGUGGGCAGGAAAACUGAAACCCUGGGAUGGGUUUGAGACCACAGCCUGCACGAGACCUCCCUUUGUCAUCAGGACAUGAAGCCUUGCUCAGCGACGUUUGAUUAACUUCUGCGUCAGGCGGGAUUCCUGGGAAUCUGGGUCUGAGGCUGUAAGGUGCACACAGGACAUUUAUCAGGGAAUGCUCUCGGGACUAACGCCCGCUGGGCGGGGGGGGGGGGGGUGGAGGAAGCCGAAGGGGGGACAGGGAGGGGUGUGGAAAUGUGAAGUAGUUGCGAUAGCUCUGGAGUCAGGAUGGUCCUUAGGGCUUGACCCCAGCUGAGGCCAGAAGGCUGGACCUGUAUCCCCCAUCCAUUACUCGGUGGCCGCCGCUGUUCCCCAGAAGGGUGGAGGGGGACCUUGGUGACUCCCAUCGGGCAGGGGUGGUUUCUGGAGGGAGUUUCAGCUGUGAGCCCUCGGCAGCCAACGCUUCCAGCAGCAGGGGGGAAUAAGAGCCUCCAUCCUGGAGGAGAGAUCUCAGAGGCAGGCCACGGCAUCUCCAGCAUCAUCUGCUUUCUGGGGAUUUGCCUCGUCUGUUGGGAGACUCUUGGGGUGCAGGCCGGCCGAGGGAACGCUGUCACCUAGAGCUCUGGGCUCGUCCAAGCCGACACAUGGUGCAAAGCCAGCAGCUGAGGGACACAGAAUGGCAAGGCCAGAGCCUCCGAGAGGGCCCAGCCGCGUGACCUUGGGCACACGACUUCAUCUCUUUGUCCCUCAGUUUCUCCAUUUGUCCAAUAGGGACAAAAUUAGUACUUACCUCAUGAGUUCUUGCAAGACUAACUGAGACAGUGCACGCGAAGCGCGUCACACUGGCCCAUCAUAUGCAAGGAUCUGUGGACAGUGGCUGGUAGAACGUUCAUUGCUGCUAAUCAUUUCGCAAACUUGGAGAAAGGCCUGAGACGAAUGUUGAGAGCCCAAGUCCUCAUCCAAGAGGUCUAAGAGUUAGGGAAGUCGGAUCCAUCCCGGAAGCGAGAGGUAGGUUUGCGCAAGGCGGGGAGUCCUGACAGAUACCCAGCCCGGGACUAUUGGCCCUUGACUUUCACAUGUUUGUUUUCAACUGGGUGAGACUUGGCAGAGACAGCCCUACCGACAAGACAAGAGCGAAACCACAUAUUUCUGGUGAAAAAGUUGUUGCCUUCUUCCUUCUGCCCUAUUCCUUUAGUUAGGUUUAAUGGCAAGCUUAGCCUUCCCACUGAGUUUUCUUCUCCCUUGAACUUGAAAUCCUGGCUUUGCCACCUGUCACCUGUAUGGCCUUGUGAAAGUCACAGAACCUCUCUGAACUUCAGUGUCCUUGUCCUUAAAAUGAGACGGAUAAUACUCGAUCUCCCUUGGUGGUUGUGAGAUUCGAAUGAGAUAUUUGGAAGCAGUGCGCAAAUUGUAAAACACAAUGUAGAUGUCACGGUUAUUGGGGGUGUUCUGCUGACUGCUUUUUCUUCUCUUUUCUCUCUCUCUCUCUCUCUCUGGAUAUGGUGUUCAUGACCAAUAGAGAGGCUGGGGAGGACAGCCACAGGUUAAUGAACGCAAAAGAGUGAAAAGCCCCUGGUGAAACUGAUCUGACAAGAGCUUUCUUCUCUGAGCAAGGACGACGCUAUCUUUUGUCCCUUCAUAUACGAAGGGGCUUUUUUUGUGCCAGAGUCUGUCCGAGGCCCUUAAGGUCUAGAGAGAGAAGACCUCCAUUAUGUCAGGGUAUUCAUGUCAUCUGUUUUGUCAUGUGUGUUAGAUUAUUUUUCCAUUGGUCGCAAAAGAUUUGCACACGUUCACCCGCACUCUAUCUCCUGGCCCCUAAACCAUCUAGCUAAAGCCCUCAUGGGAACAGUAAGACCCUCCCAGGCCUAUGACAUCCUUAAUUCUUGCCACACUCAGUGUGGCAGCAACCUUUGACGGAACACCUCACUUCACGUGCAGUGCUACCCACACCCAACACAUGUUUAACUUAAGUCAAUUGGAGUGGAGAGCGGGGUCUUUGACGAACAGAAAUUUCAAGGCUUAAUGAAUUUUAAUUCCUCGAGCUUUCUUUUAGGGAUGCUUUUUGUUGUUGUUGUUGUUGUUGUUGUUGUUGUUGUUGAUCUAGUUUUCAAAAACCUCUCCCUACUCCGUGGUCUUGGAGGUUUGUUUUUGUUUCUGUUUUGUUUUGACAUUUGGACCUGAAAUGUGACUUGAAUUAGCUUCUAUGGCUGUGUGCAGGAGGGGAUCUAAUGUCUUUUUUUCUCCAAAGGUGUAUUUUUUUUUAAGUAGAGGACACUUCCAACAUGGUAGGAAAUGUGAAUGUGUUGUAAGAAAGAAACAAACAGAACUGGGUAGAGAUUCCAGGCAGUUCAGAAGAACAGGCCAGUCUCCAGGGUUUAUUAAGAUCCAAGGGGUAAUCAUGGGGGCUAAUCCCUAUCCUCAAGGAGCUCACUGUCUCAGUGUGAACAUGUGAUUAUGACAGGUUUUCAUCUAUGGCCGGGAACCCCUCACCUUCAUUAAAACUUUCACAGUUAACAAAGGAUUCCUAUAUGUGCUUCUUCACAAUGUAUUCCUGGCCAUGUCUGUACCUGUCACUGGGAUUCACAGAAGCUCAGGGACUCGCCCAAGGUAACACAGCUAGUGAGCACAGGGCCGGACAUAAAAUCUGGAAUGUCUUCUCAGCCUGGUGUUUUUUCAGCCACGCUGUCUCUCAGCUUGAUCUCCACUUUCCAGUGGCUUUUAUUAUACAAUGAAAUCUGCUAAAUCUGUUUCUGUCUCUCCAUCUAUCAGCCCUAUUUGUCCUAUUUGUCCAGCCACCAGUUUAUCUGUCCGUGUAUCUACCCAUUGUCUAUGCGUUCAUCUGGAAUGCAGUCGUCUGCCUAUCCGCCUACCUAUCUGGGAAGGUCGGGCAGGUGAUGGCAGAGUACUGGGAGAGUGGGGGGAGGGGGCACCUGAAUUCAGCCAGAUCCCAAGUUCACCCCCAGCCAGUUGCCUAACAUCAUGCCGGUCACCUCGUGCGUUUGCAAAUCAGUUUCCACGUCUAUAAAAUGAGGUGUUUGGAGUAAAUGCUUUUUAUUUAUUUUUUAUUUAUUUUAUUUAUUUUUUUAAUCUUUUUUCUUUUCAACGUUUUUUUAUUUUAUUUUUGGGACAGAGAGAGACAGAGCAUGAACGGGGUAGGGGCAGAGAGAGAGGGAGACACAGAAUCGGAAACAGGCUCCAGGCUCCGAGCCAUCAGCCCAGAGCCCGACGCGGGGCUCGAACUCACAGACCGCGAGAUCGUGACCUGGCUGAAGUCGGACGCUCAACCGACUGCGCCACCCAGGCACCCCACUAAAUGCUUUUUAAAAUGUGGCCCCUUUCUAACUUGAUUUUUCCGACUAUUGUCUCUAAUACUGUUUUCUUUACUGAUAAAUAAUUUACUUCACCUCCGUGCACCUUUUGUCUACAGCUUACCCUCAUGCCCCUUCCCUUCUUCUUUGAUUGCAAGCAAUAAAUACACAGCUCAUAGUCACGCAGGCAUGAGGCUGUUGGUUUACACAGUUCAAGUACCGGGUUGAUCACAGAGUUGAAAGGAGUAACGGGUAGAAGCGGGGUCUCUGAACUGGAACUGGGGAUUCGAAGUAGCCAUCCAUAUUUUAUUCUGAUUAUCUGUUCCUGUUUAUCCGUAGGUCCUACUCUUUUAAAGGAGGGCCUUUAUCCACACUCUGGGAAAUAUGGCCCCUGCCAGCCCCCGAUAAGCAGAUCCAGCAGAAAAAUUCUCAAGUUGUGUAUACCAUAAUUGAAGGGGGAGGGUCUGACUGUCCUCUACCAGGUUUUUUGGUUGGGGGACAGGAUGAUUGUAGCCAAGGGCCCUUUAACCCAUAACUCGAAUGGAACUUUGUGGAAUAGAAGAACAUCUCUCCCCCCCCCCAAAAUAUAUUGAACAGGCCCCCAAAAUGUCCUUUACACGCACUGAUCCAAUAAUAAGGUAUGGGUGGGCCAAAAACCAACUUGGAAAAGUUAAGGCCAAAUAAUGGUUAGGAUCAUGGGCCCUGGAAACAGUUCUCCUGGAUGAAUUCGAGGAAAUUCACGUUGACAAGCCAACGUGCCCAAAUUGUAUAUCCUCUUUAGGAGAAUAACAUUACCUAUGGCAACAAGUUAUUGUGAGGGCCAAGGACAAAAAUGAGGUUGUCUGUUACUACUGCCACAACUGUCCGUUUGAAGAGUGUCACAAAUAAUAGAUUCUGAGCUAAAAUGAUGCCUGCUGAUGCCUGACCUAGAACUCCUCCCACCGUCCCGUGAUUUGGAAGGUAGCAGAUGAAGCAAGACGGAAAUGGAAUGAGCAACAUUGUGACGCUGGCAUUUCUGGAUCCUUGUCACAGGCCGGUGGCCAGCGUCCCCUCUUUUUUUUUUUUUUUCAACGUUUUUUAUUUAUUUUUGGGACAGAGAGAGACAGAGCAUGAACGGGGGAGGGGCAGAGAGAGGGAGACACAGAAUCAGAAACAGGCUCCAGGCUCUGAGCCAUCAGCCCAGAGCCUGACGCGGGGCUCGAACUCACGGACCGCGAGAUCGUGACCUGGCUGAAGUCGGACGCUUAACCGACUGCGCCACCCAGGCGCCCCCAGCGUCCCCUCUUUAUUUGGCCUCUUAUUGCCCCGUGUCACAGAAGAGGGAACUGAGGCAUAGAGUGAUGAACGUCCGGCUGGGUCACACAGCCAGCUGGUGGUGGAGGCUCCGUUAGGGGCGUUGCUGAUGGACGGACAGAAGCGUAAGCGGGGUUUCCUAGAGUCUCUGGCCAGACGGGACGAGCUUCGACGUCAUCUCUCUUCACUCUGCUUUGCCUCGUGUGCUGUUGUUGGGCUCGCUGUGGGCGCCCUGUCUUUUCAGAGAACACGCGGACCGAUGUCGACCGCGGCAGCUGAUGGAGAAGAAAACAGCAAAAAGGUACAACUCAGACGCCAACACUUGUGGGUGAAUUUACAGUUGUAGGGAAGAGAAACUUCCCAGGUAAAUAACAUUGUUACUGUGAAUUAAAUGCCUGGCUUUUAUGCAACCUUGGGAUUGAUUUCUGCUACGAAGGAGCAGCGAACGUAAACCUACUUCAGACUCCGUCAUUCUUAGGUUUUUACCAUCCAGGGAUUUCAAAAUCAGAAAGGCGUGUUAGGUCAUCCAUAGACCUGUUGCUCUUUGUUAUUCAACCCUGCAGUCUGGCGGUGCGCUCCGAAUGUCUGCAGGAUGCCUCAUCCUGUACCUGCCGCAGAGCCGUGACUCAGCCCUAUUGAAUAACUCCCUUUUCCCCCGUAUGACAUGUCAACUUCGUUUCAUUGCUAUGGCAUGUUUCUUGCCCUGUGGCUGAUAAACAAGGCAACCCAGGCAGGAAACCAAAGCAAAUUCCCUACUUCUGAUUCAAAGCGGGAGGUCUGCCAGCAUAGACCUGGAAGACACGCUCCCUUACCUUGCCCAGUCCCCUGAGGAAGCUGGUUUUCUCUUCCUUAGCCUCCAUCCCUCCUCUCGUUCCUGGCCCCCCCGCCUCCCCAGGAGAGGACCACAAAACCCUGGAGCUCUUUUUACCUGAAAAAUAAAUCCAGGAGCAAGACCUUUUACGUUACGUUUAUCAAAAGGGAGGAUGUUCGUCUCAUGACUCCUUUAAAAUGAAGCAUUUGUGUCUGAGAGGUUUGAAGUGACUGGGGUCUGUAGGACCGGGAUCCACGCUAGGAUUCUCUGACUACGUCACAGCCGGGUGGCCACUCGAAAAUCUGGGCUCAGAGAGAUAGCACGGUGUCGUGGGUGCAAAAAGAAAGGCUUUGGGGUUUCCGAGCUUCGCUUUUGUUAUCUAAAAAUGGGGAUUAAAAAACUUUCUUUUUGGGGCGCCUGGGUGGCUCAGUCGGUUGGGCUUCUGACGGCUCAGGUCAUGAUCUCACAGUUCUUGGGUUCGAGCCCCGCGUCGGGCUCUGUGCUGACAGCUCGGAGCCUAGAGCCUGCUUUGGAUUGUUUCUCCCUCUCUCUGUCUGCCCCUCCCCUGCUCACACUCUGUCUUCUGUGUCUCUCUCUCUCUCAAAAUAAAUAAACAUUAAAAAAAAAAACAAAACUUUCUUUGGGGGAUUGUUGUAAGAAUGAAAUGAGAGUACACAUUAACCACAUGUGAAGAUAUAUCCCAGAUCGGCGUGAUGGUAACUUUUCUCAUGGACAUGCUGUGUCGCGUUCAUCGUGAUACUGGUUUCUGCCUUAAUUGUUUCAAAUGACAAAACAGAGCUAAUUACAGUUGCCACUAAAUCAUGUUUUAAAAAGAUUGAACUAGUGAAAGUACAAAUUCGUAGAACUUUUCUGGAGGCAAUUUAGUAUUAUCUAUCAAAUAAAUAUAUUUGUGUAUAUAUAUAUUUUAAUAGAAUUUUACUCUAAGAAUUUGUUAGGAGAGUAGGCAGAUGUCAUUCAUAAGUAUGGUAAUCAUGACAUGGUUGACAAUAUGAAAAUUUACAAACAACCUAUAAAUUCUACAUAGGAGACUGGUUAGGUAAAUUAUUAUACAUCUAUACAGAGGAAUACUGUCUAGGUAGCCAUUAAAAAUCAUUUAUUCUUAUGGGAAAUAUUCAUUUGUGUAUCAUUAAGUGAAAAUUGCAAAGAGUAAACUGGGGUACACUGUUAUUGUUAAUAAAUAAGAAAAGCACAUAUAUACAAUGGAAAGAAAAAAAAAAAAGGAGGGUUCAUACCGAAACAUUAAUCAUAGUUUUCUUUGGCUGGAAUCCAAGUGAUUUUUGUUGUCUUCCUUUGUGUUUUCUGUAUUUUACAAAUUUCUUGUACCCCAUAUACUUCAUUUCUCUAAUUAGAAAAAAACCAUGACUUUAAAAUAUGGCCACUUAACUCAUCACGUUUUCAAAUGAGCAUUAAGUUUAAUUAAGUUUAAAAUGCUUCAGAGAGGGGGCACCUGGGUGGCUUAGUCGGUUGGGCUUCUGACCUCGGCUCAGGUCAUGAUCUCACAGUUCAUGGGUUCGAGCCCCGCAUCGGGCUGUGUGCUGACAGCUCAGAGCCUGGAGCCUGCUUCCGAUUCUGUGUCUCCUCCUCUCUGUCCUUCCCAUGCUCUGUCUCUCUCUGUCUCUCAAUAGUAAGUAAAUGUUAACACAAUUUUUUUUUAAGGCUUCAGAGAGACUUUGAAAGAACUUAUAAAUGUGUACAUAGAAACAAAGCUGAGAAGAAACACCUCAAAAUGUGCACAACAUGACUUCUGUGUGGUGGUUUAGGCAGUCAUUUUAUUAUCGAUCUUCUAUUUUGCUGAAUUUUCAAAAUUUCUACAGUCUACAUGUAUUAAUUUUAUGAACAGGGAAAAUGCUAUCAGAGUAUCUGAAAAAUUGGAUAAUUAUUAUUUACUAAGAGUAAUAUUUUCUUAGUGCCUUCUGUGAUUUCUGGUUGAUUUGAGCUUUUUUUUUUUUUUUUUUUCCUUUUUUNNNNNNNNNNNNNNNNNNNNNNNNNNNNNNNNNNNNNNNNGCAGCCCGUUUGUCAGUUUCAAGAUGUCUAAUUUGAAAAAAAUCUAAUUUCUUUUCUUCUUAAAAUCUCUCAUUCAUAUAUCAGGGAGACUUUAAUUUGUAGCAUCAAGUUAUUCAAAGCCCAAGUCCUAAGCUGCUGGAGGGAAGACCGUUCCCAAGCGCGGCCAGCUGAAUCUGAGGAAAGCCUGAAAAUCUUCCGGGCGAGUCUGGCCUCACAGGAUUGUCAGCCUGAUUUUAGAUCAAAGGGGCUCAGAUAAACGCAUUAACUUUCGACUACUUCUCCUCCAAGCCUCAGAUCCCCUGGACGCUUGCCCAUUUGGGCUGAGACCUGUAGGCGGCUGUUUUUGGAGCAAGGGUGUCUUGAGGUCGCAGCUAACGCACAGAUUUCCAUGUCUGGUAAAACAACCAGCAUGUGUUUACCAACAUGAAUGGUAUUUUUCAAGGUCAACGCUGGGUUCCUAGCAAAUGGAAAAAAUAAUUGGUAUGCAGGAUAGAAAAAAAGCCAAGAAAGUGGUAGGCCUAUUGUUAAAGCCCUCUGUACAGCACACAAUUUUAGGGAGGCCUCUCGCGGGCCGGUCUGCUAUGUGCACUCCACCCUCUCGCCCACAGAUUGGAUCUCACCCUGGACAUAUACAGGGGAAUGAAGUUGGGACAUGAUUACAUUUUCCCCAUCUUUUGUCCUCUUCUUAAAGGGUCACAGUUAUUUUGGUAUUGGAUAAGAGCUCUUAUUGACAAAUACGAACAAGGCUGACAUGUGCUUAAAUACCAUCGCAGGUAAGAAAAUGAAAAAUGAAAAAACUAGCAACGUAUUUCUUUCCUGCAUCCGUGCACAGGCCCAACUUAACCCCGCUUUCAGAGACGCCCUUAUGGGAUGCAAACGUAACUACUGUUCCCCCUUCAAACCUGCUUCUCUCUGGGACAGGACCUGAGCUCCUUGGUGUAGCAUUUGGGGGUCUUAGCCACCGCAUAUCUCUUUAGCCUUCAGCCACCUCUACCCCUCCCACUUCAAACCCAAACUUCCUGUCCUGUCCUGGACCCCAGGAGGGUAGGUCCAUAAAUAGCAGGACCCAGAACACGGUGAAACAGCAGGCCCUUGCUCAAGACAAAAAUUCAAGGAUAAGAUUAAAAAUUUCAAGGGGCUCCUGGGUGGCUCAGUCGGUUAAGCGUCCAACUUCAGCUCAGGUCAUGAUCUCGCCGUUUGUGAGUUUGAGCCCCAAGUCGGGCUCUGUGCUGACAGCUCAGAGCCUGGAGCCUGCUUUGAAUUCUGUGUCUCCCCCUCUCUCUCCCCUCCCCCUGCUCGUGCUCUCUCUGUCUCUGUCUCUUUCAAAAAUAAAUAAACAUUAAAAAAAAAAAAAAAGAAGAAGAAUUUCAAAAUGGCGGCCACAGAGCAUUAAGCCCCAAGUACAAGGCCCGUGUGACUUUUUGGGUCAGAUGCCCAUGAAGUCACCCUAACCUGCGGCACGUUUUCACCUCAGUUUCCUCGCUCCUAUGGUGUGUGGCCUGGAGUGUCCUAUCUGUUGUCUGCUUCCAUCAUCUUCCCUCCUACUUAUUCUUUAAGAUUCACUUGGCUUGGGUAUCUGUGCCAAAGAGUCUCCCAAACUUCCCUCCCACAACCCCGCACCCACAAGUUGGGGUGGGUAUUCCUCUUCUGAGCACCUUUUAGACCAGUGAUUCCCAAAGGCUGAGCCGGCCACCACCUACUGUAUAUGUACCUGGGGCGGUUGUGAAAAUGGAUCUGAAUCUCAGGGAGAGGAGCUUAGGCAUCUGCCCUUUGAGAGUUCCAGAAUGGAUAUGCAUGCACACUGAAGCUUGAGAACGAAUGCCCCUUGCCCAGUGUCCUUGCCAAGCCUGUGCUCAGUUCCCUUGUUUCCUUAACAUCUGGCCCUACGUACACGUGGUUCCUUGUUUGCUGGACGGAGCUAACUGUUCCCAUUUCAGGUCUGCCUUCUUUCCGCUCGUGCUUCUCACUGGCUCCCGGGUCCUCAGAGCCUCUCCUCCUGUCCCUCCAGAGUUAAUGCAGCUCCACGUGGCCUCUCUGGCUGGCCCUGGGCCCCAGGAGUGACCCGUGGGGUUGGCACUUUCUGGACGGAGCUGCCAGGUGGUAACGUGGUAAGUGCCCGGCCUCCAUGAUUGCGAACCCCAAAGGGAGACCCUAAGUGUUUGCUUCUUGAGGACCUCCAGCUGGAGGAGAGAGAGAGAGAGAGAGAGGGAUGACCCUCUCGCCACAGAGGUGCGCGUGAGAGAGCAUCUCAUUUUCUCUGUGGUCAGGGGCCCUCGUGUGAGACCUCAGGCAGUCUGCAGGCCGAGGAGACUACAGAUGGCACCACCAGGCCCCAAACGGCCGGCAUGUUGAGAGGCAGCAGUGAGCUUGUCUGUGGAUCGGUUUUCUCCGGUCCCAGCCCAGAUGUUGGGAGCGCUGAUCACAGAGGAGCUGUGCACAAGGCCUGACAGAGCUCCCGUCCCUGUGCCUCAAGCCUGAGCUUGCAGAGGAGGGCCCAGACACUGGAGAGAUGUGGAUGACAGACCACCCCAGCCCUGAGACUCAACACAGGGCACUGGAUGUUUCUUUUGCAGGAAGGGGGAAGAAGUGCCUGGGGGUGGUGCGCGGUGCGAAGGAAACAACGGCCUGAGGUGGCCUCCCCGGUGGACUGGGGGCACGAGCUGUCCGUGUGUCCCCCAUGCUGGGCUCACCUCAGCUUGGCCCCGCGGUCUCGGCCGGCCACACUCUCAAGACCACCCCAGGGCCUCCGAGAUCCGUGAGCCCCACAAUGAGCAAGCCAGCUCCAGGUCUUGGGUCUCCCCGUCGCCCUCCCUCGAGGCAUCCGGGGCACAAACGACACCAGCUUCCCCGGGCCCUGUUUUGAGGCCUAUCUACCGGGAGCUGGAAGACCGCCUCAGGAAAACUUGGCCCUCUCUCUCCCGUUUUGAUUAGCGUUUUUGCUUUGUUUAACAAAUAUCUCCUGGCUGUUGUUGCAAAAAUUAGUUUUUUCUCAUUCGGGGCAUCGUCAAAUCUGGAUCCCGUGCCAGCCACACUAGGCAAAAAUUUCUAGGCCUCCAGGAAGCUGUUACAGAGAGGGGAGCCCUGUGGUUCCCACAGCGUGAAGGAGGACGGGUCACCCCACGGACCAUUAAGCAAUUGUCUGGGAGCCAGUUGUCUGCUGGUCUGUGAAUAGUUGCCUGAGUAAGCAGGUGUCUCGCGGAUCAUGAGGUAAUUGGGGCCACGAUACCCAGUGCUUCAGCCACACGAUUUCUCCGUCUCCCCUUGAAAUUUUCCUUACUCGCCAUCAUCACCCUCACUCGCUGUACGAGCUUAAAGGGACCGAGUGCUUAGUAUGUGCAAGGCACGGUCUUAAGCUUCUCCUUAACGGGUCUCAUUGUUUCCCAUCAUACCCCUGAAGUGUUGCAGUUAUAACCCCUUUUACGGGUGGAGUGGUUGAGCCUCCGAGGUGCAAGUGUCCUGUCCGAGGUCGGACGGAUAUCAGGAUUCAAACAUCCCACGUGUCCUAGCCACAGUGAGCCUCUGCGGAUACGAUUCUCUCCAAGCCCAACCUGGUCCGAGGACCGCUUCCCCUUUGUAGCCUCCCGUUAGCAGGCGGGGCUCGCAGUUCUCUGCAGCACCUGCCACAUGCAUUUAUAUUUCUGUCUACCUGUGAUAUAGUAAAAAAAAAAAAAAAAAAAAAAAUGUAUGUUUUGUCUUUGUCCCUGGUUCCUGGCACAGAGUUCGUAAAACCCUUGGGAUUUCCUGAGUGAUAGGAAUGUUACUUAUUUAUUUUAUUAUUUUUUUUAUGUUUAUUUAUAUUUUUGAGAGACAGAGAGGCAGAGAAUGAGCGGGGGAGGAGCAGAGAGAGAGGGAGACACAGAAUCGGAAACAGGCUCCAGGCUCUGAGCUGUCAUCGCAGAGCCCGAUGCGGGGCUCAAACUCACAAGCUGUGAGAGCAUGACCUGAGCCAAAGGUGGACACUUAACUGACUGAGCCACCCAGGCGCCCCAGGAAUGUUAUUUAUAAAGGUCCCUUUGACCAUACCUGAGUUUAUGCUAAUGAGGUGACUCCUGAGGGCUCCCAGAGGAGCCAAACAUGUGAUUACAGGGUAGGAACUUUCAGUCCCACCCCACCUCAUCCUCGAUCUCCAGAGAGGGGGGAGGGACUGGGGAUUGAGUUCAAUCACCAAUGGCCAAUGCCAUUAAUCAUUAAUCAGCGAUGCCUACUUACUGAAGCCUCCAUUAUAAAAUCUAAAGGACAAGGACAGAGGAGCCUCUGAGUCGGCAAACACACUCAUGUGCCAGGAGGGUGGUGCGCCCCAACUCCAUGGAGAAAGAGGCUUCUGCGCUGGGGACCUUUCCAGAUCUUGCCCUAUGUACUGCUUCAUCCGGCUGUUCAUUUCUACCCUGUGUGAUAAACUGUAUUCUUUUUUUUUUUUUUUCAACGUUUAUUUAUUUUUGGGACAGAGAGAGACAGAGCAUGAACGGGGGAGGGGCAGAGAGAGAGGGAGACACAGAAUCGGAAACAGGCUCCAGGCUCUGAGCCAUCAGCCCAGAGCCCGACGCGGGGCUCGAACUCACAGACCGCGAGAUCGUGACCUGGCUGAAGUCGGACACUUAACCGACUGCGCUACCCAGGCGCCCCUAUAAACUGUAUUCUAAGUAUAGUGCUUUUCUUUUUUGUUUUUUGGGGUUUUUUUUGGUAAUGUUUGUUUAUAUAUGACAGAGAGAGCACGAGUGGGGAAGGGACAGAGAGAGGGAGAGAGAGAGAGAAUCCCAAGCAGGCUCCGUGCUGUCAGUGCGGAGCCCAAAGCUGGGCUUGAACUCAUGAACCGUGAGAUUGUGAUCUGAGCCGAAGUCGGAUGCUUAACGACUGAGCCACCCAGGCACCCCAGUGCUUUUCUGGUUUUGUGAGUCCUUCCAAUGAAUUGCUGAGCCUGAGGGCAGGUGGCAGGAAGCACUGACCUUGUAGUCAGCCGGUGGAGGUACAGGUAGCCCCGGGACCCCGCGAACAGCCAGUGUCUGAUAUGGGGGCAGGAUCGUGGGGUCAGUUGGUGUCGGAAUUGGUUUGAGUUGUGGGUCACCCAGUUUGUUCCAGAGGACUGGAGAGUGGCUGGUGUGGAAGAGCUACCCCAACCCCCCACCGGCCAGUGAGACUUGUAGGUCUGGGGAGGGGCUCGUGUCGCUGGUUAAACAACACGGCGGGGAGGGGGGCUGCAAUGCGUUGCCUGCUCAGCAUGGCUCUCUCCUCCACCUGCAACUUCAGACUCUCAACCCCCAGCGGGAGCUUCUGGAACCUCUCUUCACCUUCAGGCGUUGAGACAGAUAUUCACUGGGUUGGUUACAGUGAGCCCGACCUUCAAGUGACGGGGAGUAGUAAGUUUCAGCGCCAGGGUCACACUGAUACUUGGUGACAGAGCAAGGACCGGGCUUCCCAGUCUCAUGACUGACACACCUCUACCUCACCAUCUUUUGGCUUUCCAAAGUAUCCUUCCUGAUCCGAUGCCACAAUUCUCUGGGGCCAAAAUGCAAAAUGAAGUCACCGCGAAGCUGCCGUUGACUCACCACGGGACCCUGGUUUCCAGGUCGGUGUCACUUCCACUCCAAAAUAGUCCAAACUGGUCUAUUUUCCAUCAGGGGGUGUAAACGGCCCUUAGGUCUCAGCUUCCUCCCCUCCCCCACCAGAUGUUGUGAAUCAUAGGCCUAUGAAUCUCAAGGCCUCCGUCCAAUAAAGACACAGGAGCUAAAGGCAGGUGGGGAGGGGGAAGAUCCCGGAAAGUCCCCACCACUGUCAGCAGCUUCCUCGGCAGGGAGGAUUCACCGGGCUGGCUGGGUCCGGAGCUUGGAGGCCAAUUGAGGAUCUGUCAUCAGCUCCCUCUUGUUCCAGAAACAGCUUCUUCAAAGGGGUCUGCAGCGGCGGUGGGGAGGCCUGCUCAGAGUCUCUGGGAUUGUUGGAAGGUGGAAGGAGGAGAGGAAGGUGGGGAGGACGCCUGGAGCCCUGCCACCCGAGUGAGGCCGGUGACAGGAAGAAUCUAUCAAUCUUGUGUGCAGAGCCAAAUAUGGUGCUGGGGCUCGAUAGGUAAUAAACAAUGGUCACAUUGCGGGCUCGACAAGGAGAGACAUUACAGACGAGAGCCAGGGGCAGCCUGACGUCACUGUGUGCGGCCGAGCCGGCUGGCUCACCCUGGGCUGCAGAAAUUCCAUAUUUGUCCUUUUUGAGCCCACAUGGGCUUUCUUCUCCAUGUGCUCAGAGCAGGAAGGGGAAACUGAGGCCCGUGUGUCGCUUGGGAGAUGUAUCCCCGGGGGUGUGGUAGGAAUUGAGCCUGUCUUAUAUCGUGACUUGCUUUUGGCAGCCUCGUCCACAUGCAGCCAGGCUCUUAGCGGCAACAGCAAGAGACCCAUGAGUGGAAAUCACCAGAACUGGCACUUCAAAAAAUUUAUUAUUAUUAUUUUUAAUGUUUGUCUAUUUUUGAGAGACAGAGAGAGACAGAGCACGCGUGGGGAAGGAACAAAGAGAGAGGGAGACGCAGAAUCCCAAGCAGGCCCCAGGCUCCCAGCUGUCA